rnacentral:lncRNA from 1 species
AUUGCAGCUGGUUCAGAGGGGAGCUACAAGAGCAUUCCGCCUUGUGUAAUUGGUCUUCCACCCACUUCUAUGCGUCUGGCAUCACUUUAUUAGCAUAGAUCAUCAAAACGACAAUACAUUGUGUAAAUGUCAAUGACACUUCCUAGAAACUGAGGGUUCGUGGACCGAUGGGAAGCAAAAGCACAAGCCCCUGUCGGGUCAGCGCCAGGCGGAGGGAUUGCAGUGGCGUCAUUGGCUAACUGCCCUCACGAAGUUUGUGCCGACGUGUUGGUGGAGAUAUACUACAGUGAAGAGAAGGGACGGCCAGGGGAGAAUGCAAGUCCCGUGGGGCUGGGCUCUGCGGCCACUGCAGCCAAGAGGACUGACCGUGAGAUAAGUAGUGUUCCCAGGGUAACACCAGAGAGAAGACAGGCAGCCCUCGCCGCUUCACAGCUGGCUCGGCUUCAAACCUGGAGGUUUCUGGAGUGAUGUCCAAGGUACCCACGCAGGCUGCGGGCUCGGAGCAGCAGGUGCAGAGAUACGGGAGUGGCGCACAGCAGAAAUGGCCAGGUCCAAAGGAU